rnacentral:tRNA from 1 species
AUUUAAAUAGCUUAUAUAAAUAGAGCGUAAUAUUGAAGAUAUUAAGGAAAUAGUUAUUAUUUUUAAAUA